rnacentral:rRNA from 1 species
GCAUUGCAGAUGUUCAUUAUCAGACGAGUAGUUCGAACGAUAGAUCGUGUAGUCUACAGUACUAUGCGAUCGAUCGUCGAUGCUCAUCACUGCUCGAUCGACGCGUACGAGAUCAAGUUAGUCUGGAGAGUAUGUCGCAGCUGACUAAGAAUUGACGCAGCAUCACAGAGUGAGCUGCGCUAUUGACUCACACGGGAAACUCACGGUCUGACAUAGUAGGAUUGACAGAUGAUGCGCUUCAUGAUCUAUGGUGUGUGCAUGGCCGCUCUUAGUUAGUGGAGUGAUUUGUCUGGUUAAUUCCGAUAACGAACGAGACCUUGACCUGCUAAAUAGACGGGUUGACAUUUUGUUGGCCCCUUAUGUCUUCUUAGAGGGACAAUCGACCGUCUAGGUGAUGGAGGCAAAAGGCAAUAACAGGUCUGUGAUGCCCUUAGAUGUUCCGGGCUGCACGCGCGCUACACUGACAGAGACAACGAGUGGGGCCCCUUGUCCGAAAUGACUGGGUAAACUUGUGAAACUUUGUCGUGCUGGGGAUGGAGCUUUGUAAUUUUUGCUCUUCAACGAGGAAUUCCUAGUAAGCGCAAGUCAUCAGCUUGCGUUGACUACGUCCCUGCCCUUUGUACACACCGCCCGUCGCUACUACCGAUUGAAUGGCUUAGUGAGGACUUGGGAGAGUACAUCGGGGAGCCAGCAAUGGCACCCUGACGGCUCAAACUCUUACAAACUGGUCAUUUAGAGGAAAUCACUAGUGAAUUC